UUUUUUUUUCGUUUCCAAAAGUUUCAUGACCUUAUCCGAUCCAAAGCCUAGCCAAACCAUAGCCCGGCGGUGCACCCUACCGAAAUUAGAAAAGGCUUAAUGGCUCCUUGUUAUGUGCACGUUUCAAGUUUCGUUUUAACCUUUACUUUCUUGUGGACCGUACAAAAAGUGUAUAAGCUUAAACUUUUCGCCACGGACUGAAAAUGAUUUUAGCUCCUCACACUAAGGUGGAAAAACAAUUUAGGAAUGGUUCCCCCUCUGUUGGCCGACGUGGCGAUCGCGUCGGUCGCCUCGUGCGCGAACCAUGUGCCUCUGUGUAUCCCCACUAGUGCUUCUGUUCCGUGAACGUUCUUUUCCUUCUCGACGAAGCUUCCUCGGUGGCUAGUGCUCCCCUCGGCCAGACGAUGUUGUGCUAGCAUCGGUUACUUUUUCGGUGAAGCUUCCUCGGCGCCUAGCGCUCCCCUAGGGCACACAAUGUUGUGGUGGCAUCGGUUACUUUCUCGACGAAGCUUCCUCGAUGCCUAGCGCUCCCCUCGGACAGACGGUGUUGUGCUGGCAUCGGUUACUUUCUCAAUGAAGCCUCCUUGAUGCCUAACGCUCCCUUCGUCCACACGAUGUUGUGCUGGCGUCCGUUACCUUCCCUGAUGAAGCUCCGUCGAUGCCUAGCGCUCCCCUCGGACANNNNNNNNNNNNNNNNNNNNNNNNNNNNNNNNNNNNNNNNNNNNNNNNNNNNNNNNNNNNNNNNNNNNNNNNNNNNNNNNNNNNNNNNNNNNNNNNNNNNNNNNNNNNNNNNNNNNNNNNNNNNNNNNNNNNNNNNNNNNNNNNNNNNNNNNNNNNNNNNNNNNNNNNNNNNNNNNNNNNNNNNNNNNNNNNNNNNNNNNNNNNNNNNNNNNNNNNNNNNNNNNNNNNNNNNNNNNNNNNNNNNNNNNNNNNNNNNNNNNNNNNNUCCCUUCGGCCACACGAUGUUGUGCUGGCGUCCGUUACCUUCCUUGACGAAGCUUCCUCGGCGCCUAGCGCUUCCUUCGGCCAGACGAUGUUGUGCUGGCGUCAGUUACCUUCCCGACGAAGCUUCCUCGGCAUCCCCUUGACUAGACGAUGUUGUGCUGGCAUCGGUUACCUACCUGAUGAAGCUUCCUUGGCGCCUAACGCUCCCCUCGGCCAGAUGAUGUUGUGUUGGCAUUCGUUACCUUCCCGAUGAAGCUUCCUUGGCGCCUAGCGCUUCUCUUGACCACACGAUGUUGUGUUGGCGUCGGUUACUUUCCCAACGAAGCUUCCUUGGCGUCUAGUUGGUUUACUUGGUGGAAGAUUAUUAUGUUCGGAUUGUUAAUCACAUUUAUACCCACUGAUCAUGUUCAAUAAGAUGAGUUGUGAGUAGUUCUAUUUGUUCUUGAGGACAUGGGAGAAGUUUCGUUAUUAGUAAUCAUGUGAAGUUGAUCACCUUUCAAUGUUUUGAUAUCAUGUUGUGUUGUUUUUCCUCUAGUGGUGUUAUCUGAGCGUCGACUACAUGACACUUUACCAUCUUUGGGCCUAGGGUAAGGCAUCGCAGAAUUACUUUGUAGAUGAUGGGUUGCGGGAGUGAUAGAAGCAUAAACCCCAGUUUAUGAAUUGUUUCGUGAGGGCUGUUUUGGAUCCACACAUUUAAUGUUAUGUUUAGAGUUAUCUUAGUUACUUCUUUUGUUUUACGGAUGCUUGCAUGGAGAGUAUAAUCAUAAGUAGCUGUUUGUUCAAGGAAGAACAGUACAUUAGCUCUGGUCCACCCACAUAACACUUAUCAAGCAAAUGAACGUGAAGUCGAUGAAUUGUGGUCAAAGUAACUUGACGUUAUUCAAGUGUGUCCUUAAGAGCGUUUUAAUCACAAUUAAGGUUUGGGCCACUUGUUGCACCUUGCUACUUUUGUUACUUGUUACCAUUUAUCUUGCUAUCAAAACUAUCUUAUAGCAUUUGCAGAGAAUACCUUGCUGAAAAUUACCUAUCAAUUCCUUCUGCUCCUCGUUGGGUUCGGCUCUCUUACUUAUCGAAAGGACUACUGUUAAUCUCCUGUACUAGUGGGUCAUCAGUGAUCAAGUUUUCCUCAAGCUUCAACCUUAUGCCCAGUCCAGUGUUUCUCAUUGAGAAAACAAUAAGCUUAAUUUUAAGUACUAUGUGCCUUAUCAAAUCAUUUCAAAGUAGGAAUUGUUGCUUAUCGACUUGCUCUUCCUAGUGAUAGUCGCAUUCAUCCAAUCUUUCACGUUUCUCAACUCGAGAAGGUUGUUGCUCCUAUGGUUCAGGUGCAAUCUUCCUUUCCAUCUUCAAUUGCUUAUCUUAAGUUCUUGUUGCAUGUGUUGCAACAUCACAUUCGUCAAUUGGGAAAUCGCACUAUUCCUCAAGUGCUGCUGGAGUGAAGCCAAGGUGAGCCAGAAGCUACUACUUGGGAAGAUCAUGACUCGCUGAAGCAACGAUUUCCGCGUGCACCGGCUUGAGGACAAUCCAUUUCUCAAGAUGGGGGGGCGGGGGUCAGCGACCCAGAUCCUUUGCUCCCUAUGGACAAGGCGGGAACAUAAGAAUAGGAGGUGACUCAAGACAUGGAUCAGGAGACUUCAAGGCCGCCCCGAGCCAAAUGUUUACCGGCGCGGUUAAUGAAGGAAAUAUGCCCUGGAGGCAAUAAUAAAGUUGUUACUUUAUAUUUACUUAUUCAUGGUAAAGGUUUAUUAUUCAUGCUAGAAUUGUAUUGAUCGGAAACUUAAAUACAUGUGUGAGCACAUGAACAAACACAGUGUCCCUAGUAAGCCUCUACUAGACUAGCUCGUUGAUCAAAGAUGGUUAAGGUUCCUAACCAUGGACAUGUGUUGUCAUUUGAUAACGGGAUCACAUCAUUAGGAGAAUGAUAUGAUGGACAAGACCCAUCCGUUAACUUAGCAUAAUGAUCGUUCAGUUUUAUUGCUAUUGUUUUUCUUCAUGUCAAAUACAUAUUCCCUUGACUAUGAGAUUAUGCAACUCCCGGAUACCGGAGGAAUACUUUGUGUUCUAUGAAACGUCACAAUGUAACUGGGUGAUCAUAAAGAUGCUCUACAGGUAUCUCCGAAGGUGUUUGUUGAGUUGGCAUAGAUCAAGAUUAGGAUUUGUCACUCCGAGUAUCGGAGAGGUAUCUCUGGGCCCUCUCGGUAAUACACAUCAUAAGCUUGCAAGCAAAUGACUAAGGAGUUAGUCACGAGGUGAUGUAUUAUGGAAUGAGUAAAGAGACUUGCCAGUAACGAGAGUGAAGUAGGUAUGAAGAUACCGAUGAUCGAAUCUCGGGUAAGUAACAUACCGAUGGACAAAGGAAAUUACGUAUGUUGUCAUAACGGUUCGACCGAUAAAGAUCUUCGUAGAAUAUGUAGGAAACAAAAUGGGCAUCCAGGCUCUGCUAUUGGUUAUUGACCGGAGAGUUGUCUCGGUCAUGUCUACAUAGUUCUCGAACCCGUAGAGUCCGCUCGCUUAAUGUUCGUUGACGAUAUAGUGUUAUAUGUUUUGGUGACCAAAUGUUGUUCGGAGUCCCGGAUGAGAUCACGAACAUGACGAGGAGUCUCGAAAUGGUCGGAAGGUAAAGAUUGAUAUAUAGGACGAUGGUAUUUGAACACCGAAAGUGUUUCGGGUCAUACCGGGAAGGAAUCGAGUCAUCGGAAGGGGUUCCAGGCACCCCUCGGCAAGUUAUGGGCCUUAUGGGCCAAAGAAGGGGACAGACCAGCCCACAAGAGGGCUCCUCCCUUGUUUGGCCAGCCAUAGGGAAGGAAAAGGGGGAGGGCUAUCCCCUCCUGUCUUACCCUCCCAUGGGAGAAAGGAAAGAGGGGGCGCUACCCUUCCCUGCCUUUCCCCGCACUCCAAAUAAGGAAGGGGCGCGGCUUGGGAGGGACCCCAAAUAGGAUUCCUCCUAUUAGGGCGCCUCCUUUGGCUGCUCCUCCCUCCCUCCCACCUAUAUAUAUGUGGGAGGGGGGUGCCUAGCACACAACAGGCAAUUGCCUAGCCGUGUGCGGCGCACCUCUUCACCGUUUACACCCCCGGUCAUAUUUUUGUAGUGCUUAAGCGAAGCCCUGCGGAGAUCACUUCAUCAUCAUCGUCAUCACGCCGUCGUGCUGCCGGAACUCAUCUACUACCUCGUCGUCUUGCUGGAUCAAGAAGGCGGAGGACGUCAUCAAGCUGAACGUGUGCAGAACACGGAAGUGCCGUACGUUCGGUACUUGAUCGGUUGGAGCGCGAAAAAGUUCGACUACAUCAACCACGUUGUUAAACGCUUCCUCUUACGGUCUACGAAGGUAUGUAGACACACUCUCCUCCACGUUGCUAUGCAUCUUUAUGAAUAGAUCUUACGUGUGCAUAGUUUUUUGUUUUGUUUUCCAUGCAACAUUUCUUAACAAUUAACCGAUCCGAAUUGGGUCAGAUGAGCCUUGUAAUAUAAACACUGCACACCUUAUCCUGUAGGGGGUAAGAAGGAACGGAUGGACGGAUCUCCCCGAAUUCUUCCGUAGGCUUCUAGCUGUGAGGCUGGUUAGGUGAAAGAACUAAAUUCAAAUUCGCCAUGGUUUCUUUUUUCCUAGCUCGAGCGACUUAAGAGGAGAGGGAACCUCAGAGGAAGAGAUUUGUUCCUUUGAAUCAAUGGGAAAGAAAAACUCAAUGAUUCACGGGUUUCCGAAAACAGAGGAAUACAAAAAAUAUAGGAUUUGUACUGUCACGUCUUUUGAUGUGUACAUGAUUUAAGUUUGCUUAAUUUCUUAAUUAAAAAACAAUGAGUUCUUUCCAAAUUGUUUGAGUGGAUGAUAACUUUCCUAUGAAAUACAUGUCUUGAUCCUACAAGGAACGUUGCUACACAGCUGACGAGUUGUGGACGAUUUGCAGACGAUGCAGCGCAUCAGGCCGUCGAUGCAUGGAGCAGAAAUGAACAGCACCGUUGGAUCCUCCAAUCGUCCAAAGUUCGGCCGGCAACUGUCGUCCGUACAACAAUUUCGUCCUACAAAUCAAGUUUCUAAGGAAUCUAAUCCUUUAAAAAUAACAUGAAAAACUUUAAAUCAAAGAGGCCAUCAAUGUUACUUGGAACUUGGGAAUGUAAAAAAUACUCGUGAAAUUUCGGACAUAGAUGACCUAUGCUUUGGCCUUGAUACGAAAAGUUUGGUAAGGAUAUUUACUCUUGCAGAUUACCUGCAUUCGAAACGGAGUUCAUAAAGCCAGGUUUCGAAUUCUCUUCCACUAUUUCUCCAACCAUCACAACUUAAGAAUUUGAAUCCCUCAUAUCUAUGGUUUUUUUAUCGGCGGAGGUUGCUAUUCUGCUGCGUUGGUUCUGUGGGGAUUUAACAAUUAACACGACCACUCCUAAUUGUCUACUAUAAUAUGGUUUGCCCGACUCCGGUGAUGGAGGGGCGAUGAUGGCAACGCACGUUUGGGCGCGCUCCGGUGUUUUUACUUUUUGGUGUUUUUGCAGGUCUGAAGUUAAAAAUAAUAACCACGAUUUGACAAUUUGAGUACAUGUGCAUUCAGCGUCCUCCUUUCCUUCUUUCUUUUAUUGCGAAACGCUCGUCGUACUACUACUGUAUUUCUCCCGUGGAAAUCUGGCUUCAUUUUUAAUACGACGACGACGUGCGGGAUCUAGCGGCGUGAUUGGAUCAGCGAAAAUAACAUGAGCGGCAAUAAAUGCAUUAAUUAUUAAUCAACCAUGAAAGAAAGACGCGGGAUCGACGGAGUCGAAUAAAUGGGACACUCGAGGCUUCAUGUGACUCGUGGCACUCAUUGAUUGAGAGAUCCCCCCCUCCGUCUCUCUGGCUUCGUGGCCGCCACUGACAAGCGGGACCGGGGUCCGGUGACCCCACCUGUCGGGGACAACCUCGUAAGCUUAUACCCAGGCCGCCGUGUCACGGGGAGAAGCGGUGGCCGGAGUUAAAGCGGCGGUCGGGGCAUCUUCCAAAAAAAAGGAAAAAGAUGGGCUGGGCCGCACCUGCGCUGCACAUGGGGGAGGCAACGGCGCCAUGGCCAACAACAGAAAAUUCGGAGAAUGUCAGCCCGCCUGGUUCGUCGGGGGGAGAUAACGUUUGUCUAUGCGACGCGAUGGGAUUAGCCGGCUAGGUCUAGGAUAAAAGAUGGUUAGCUGUGGUGGUUUACGCUGCUGCGUGUACAGCGCGGUCCUUGAUCUGUCCUUGUCCUGUGUGUAGAGUGUAAGCUGGUGGCGGUCAAACGGAUGGGGUAAGUAGGAUUUGGAUCUCGAUCUACUGCACUGCACUGCCCACCGGUUACGGAUCUGGAGGGGUGAACGGGCGAGAGAGCGACCUGCGCGUGUUCGUGGCGACGUCAUACGGAUGCUGCCCCUCGAUCGUCAUUGGACGGGUGCUCUGGGUGCAGUUUCCGCAUCGACGGACCCCUGGGUGUGGGUGGGUACUGAGAUGACAUGGGAUCCGUCCAUCCCUCUGCUUCUCUGGGACUUUAUUAUGUCGCUUGGGCUCCCUCGUCCAGGCGUGUAGUAUAAUGCUGAUUUUGUUCGACCGUAAAAUGGUUAGUUUUGAGCAAUCUGUCGAGACUCUCGACCAUCUAAUACUAAUAGUAUAUGUUUUCAGCAUUCUGAUUAUAACAAUCUAAUUUUGUUACUCUCUUCGUGUGUCAAAACGCUCUUAUAUUACGGGACAGAGGAAGUAGUUAACGUAAAGCUAUUCGCACCGGAAAAUAUCAUGUUUCCUCUAUAACAGGACGUUUUAGAUCACUAUAAUAGUAGUGUAUGACACUAUCUUCACAGGGCAUAGUAUCAUAGUAUCAUACUUUCUUCGUCCAUGAAUAAGUGUAUGUUUGACAUUCAAAAUUUAUUCACAGAAAGUGCAAUUCUAUCUUUUCAAUGCACUUUAAAAUAGAAAAAAAUGCUUCUCUCUCAUUACAUGGUAAUCAAGACCAAUAGCAUUUAACACAUUGUCUCUUCACUUUCUAUAUCCACUUAGCCCCCUCCCAGUGCUCCACUUUGUACAUGUGCUAAGCCUGCCAUGCAGAAGAAAAAUCUGAUGUGGCAAGUUAAUUAAGAGUAGAGAGAUGAGUGUGGUGAUACCAGAAAGAACAAUGCCAAAUGCGUGAACCUAAGCACAACAUUUAAAUGAAAGAAGCCCAACAAUGCAUGAAGGAUUUUAGUUGCUAAAUCAUUAAAGGAAGGGAAUAUAGACGGACUCGCCCGGCCCCCGCGUCGCUCCGCACGGGCGACACGGGAGGUGAAACUAGCAGCCGCUCCCCUGCCGUCCUCCCCCUCGCCGCCGCCAGGGUGCGCCGCCUAUCAAAGACUGUGUGGCAGCGGCGGCGGCGGGGCUUUGUCUUUCUACAGGGUGUGGGCGCACCCGUGGCUGGUUCGUGCGGGAGCCAGCGCGGGGUUCAUCCUGCAAGCGCCGCCGGUGGUCGGGAGAUCCUCUCCUCCGGCAGGGCGGCGGAUCCGGGGCCCUCGCGCCCGAAUCUGGUGCAGUGGUGGGCGCGCGGCUGGGGAGGCCCCGCGCGGGGGGCUAGUGCACAGCGGAGGUGCGGAUCGGCUCCGGCCGUCGCGUGGUGUGCGCGGUGAGCGCGGUGAGUAUGCUCGCGUCGGAUCUGGCGCACGGCAAUGGCCUCCGGCGGCAAGGGGCGACUCGGGCGCGCGGCUGUGGUGAGGGGGUGGCGCGGCAUUGAUCCGGCGGGGCCGCUCGUCUUCUCCGGUGGGAUGGCAGCAAGAGGCAGCGGCGCGGAGGGGCGCAGUUGUGCUGUGCUGGGCGCGUGGCUGCUCAAGGGGUCCGGCGCCGUGGUGCUGGCAUCGAGUGCGCGUGAGCUUGGUGGUCGACGGCGGAGAUAGCUUGGCGCAGCAGGAAGGUGGAGCCGGUGGAUGUCGACCAUGGGGAUUGUGUGCUGCACAGUGCUUCGGAUCUGCUCGGAUUCGGAGGUGUGGUGGAGCUCCGGGCGAAAGUCCAGCACUGACUUUGGGUCGAUGCCGGCAACAGCGACGCCAUGGCUAUGGCAUCGUUCCCCUUCUUGAAGGUGUUGUUGUGGUGCAUUGCAUGACUCUCCGAGAGAAAUCCCUAGCUUCGGAUGGUCGAAGCGGGCGAUGACGACGGCUACGUCGUUUCCUUUUUUGAGGCAUCACCUUGGAGAGUCAGCAUUGUUGCAGUUCACACGUAUCUCUUCGUCGUUGGGGACAGUGGAAGUCGGGGCAGCGGCUCCGGAUGGUUUCUGAUUGUAUGUCGAGAUGGCGAUCUCGGGAACAAUGUGAGUGGCAGCUCUAUGAGGCGGGGCUCUAUCUCGACAUUGGUUGGUGGCAUCCUUGUCCCGCUUGGGCGGUAGGGGUGUCGGCUCGGUCGAUGCGCCCAGAGGGGGCGGUCUGACUUUACGUCAGGGCGGCGGCCCCGGAUGUGGUGCGACGUUCAUGGUCUGCGAGCGGUUGUCCUGAGUAGCGUGGGCCUCGGGCAGCUGGAUUGUGCGGCGUUCCUGCUCGAGGGGAGCGGUGGUAUGUCAGGGCGGCGGCCCCGGAAGGCGGUGCCGGUUGAUUGCGCUGGGCGCGGCAGAGCGAUGGAUAUCGGGGCAGCGGCUCCGAGAGAAUCACUGUGGCGACCAGACUUCUGUGGCAACCAUGAUGGUGGGAACAAAUGGAAGUCAAGUAUUUUGAAAAGGAGGGAGUAGUUUUUUCUGCUAGUGUCAAUUUUUUGCUGUGGUGAAAAGUGCACCAAUUUAUAAAGUGGUAGUUUUGUAUUAGUGGGAAUGUGAUAACAAUUGUUAUGUGCUUUUUACUCCCCACCACGGGUGCUUUAAAAAUUGUUAUGUGCUAUAAAAAUGAGUUUAAAUGAACACAACCAGGUGUAUGUCAUGCGAACAUGCCAACAAAAUUGCAAAAACUGUCUGAUGCAUGUGGAUGUUAUAUUAUGAUGCCGUUUCGAAACGACCGGCCAAACUUGUCGUACCCUAUCAGAGCUGCUAGUGCCUAAAACAUAUUGUGACUCAUUUUAGCAACGAAGUAAUGCACCUGAGGAAAAAACAUUUCGCCGUACAGCAGCCAAACCAACAACACUCCCACUCCCACAGAUAGCUCACGGAGUCACAGUACUGACUGAACUCAGUCAGCACUCAGCACGCUACAAGAAGACAUGACGACAAAGACGAAAUAUUCCAAUAGCCCGUACCCGUCUAACAACAUCAGGAUUAUACUAAGGGCAAUAAGAUAGUCCAAUAAAAGCAAGCAUGCUCAUGUUAGGAAAUCUCAACAGUAAUCACACGAAUAACCAUGCAGCGGCAACACAAAACUAAUCCUCCCCAACACCGUGUGCCCAACGUACACGCGACAGAACGGACUGUCCGCAAAGCAAAGCCAAACACACAGAAAGCUUCGAGGAACUAAAACAAUCUCAAAUCAUUGGGAGUACUAAAAAGACAGUACUGGAUAGGUGGAUAUAUUAAGGGAUGGAUAAACGAGUCAUGACAGGCCAAAGUACCCAAACGGCACUAAACAAAACCUCCCCUAAUGUCCUUCAGCUAUGGCAUGGGGCCAGAGCCUCACAAGUUCUUUUUAGACUUUCAUUCGUUCAUGUGCUCUCUAAUGAUGGAUCAGAGUCUUGUAGACCGACAACAAGCAGGACUCUCAACGGCUUCUUCUAGGCGCGUGGAGGGAGGCGGCCUCCGGUCUGGUGGAGCAUGGCAUCGAUCUCGUCGCCAUCUUCCA
rnacentral:lncRNA from 1 species